rnacentral:rRNA from 1 species
AUUGAACGCUGGCGGCAGGCCUAACACAUGCAAGUCGAGCGGAUGAAGGGAGCUUGCUCCUGGAUUCAGCGGCGGACGGGUGAGUAAUGCCUAGGAAUCUGCCUGGUAGUGGGGGAUAACGUCCGGAAACGGGCGCUAAUACCGCAUACGUCCCGAGGGAGAAAGUGGGGGAUCUUCGGACCUCACGCUAUCAGAUGAGCCUAGGUCGGAUUAGCUAGUUGGUGGGGUAAAGGCCUACCAAGGCGACGAUCCGUAACUGGUCUGAGAGGAUGAUCAGUCACACUGGAACUGAGACACGGUCCAGACUCCUACGGGAGGCAGCAGUGGGGAAUAUUGGACAAUGGGCGAAAGCCUGAUCCAGCCAUGCCGCGUGUGUGAAGAAGGUCUUCGGAUUGUAAAGCACUUUAAGUUGGGAGGAAGGGCAGUAAGUUAAUACCUUGCUGUUUGGACGUUACCAACAGAAUAAGCACCGGCUAACUUCGU